rnacentral:miRNA from 1 species
UAUCACAGCCGCUUUGACUGGU